AUCGGAAGGAGGAAGUAGGGAGGAUUCCCCUAGUAACUGCGAGUGAAGCGGGAAAAGCUCAAAUUUAAAAUCUGGCAGUCUUUGGCUGUCCGAGUUGUAGUCUGGAGAAGCGUCUUCCGCGCUGGACCGUGUACAAGUCUCCUGGAACGGAGCGUCAUAGAGGGUGAGAAUCCCGUCUUUGACACGGACUACCAGUGCUUUGUGAUGCGCUCUCAAAGAGUCGAGUUGUUUGGGAAUGCAGCUCAAAAUGGGUGGUGAACUCCAUCUAAAGCUAAAUAUUGGCGAGAGACCGAUAGCGAACAAGUACCGUGAGGGAAAGAUGAAAAGCACUUUGGAAAGAGAGUUAAACAGUACGUGAAAUUGCUGAAAGGGAAACGCUUGAAGUCAGUCGCGUUUGCUAGAACUCAGCCUGGCUUUUGCUUGGUGCAUUUUCUAGUAAACGGGCCAGCAUCACUUUUGGUUGCGGGAUAAAGGUCGCAGGAAUGUGGCACCUUCGGGUGUGUUAUAGCCUGUGAUUGCAUACCGUGGCCGGGAGUGAGGAACUCAGCACGCAUUUGUUGUGCUUAGGAUGCUGGCGUAAUGGCUUUAAACGACCCGUCUUGAAACACGGACCAAGGAGUCUAACAUGCCUGCGAGUGUUUGGGUGGUAAACCCGAGCGCGUAAUGAAAGUGAAAGUUGGGACCUCUGUCGUGGAGGGCACCGACGCCCGGACCAGACCUUCUGUGACGGAUCCGCGGUAGAGCAUGUAUGUUGGGACCCGAAAGAUGGUGAACUAUGCCUGAAUAGGGUGAAGCCAGAGGAAACUCUGGUGGAGGCUCGUAGCGAUUCUGACGUGCAAAUCGAUCGUCAAAUUUGGGUAUAGGGGCGAAAGACUAAUCGAACCAUCUAGUAGCUGGUU
rnacentral:rRNA from 1 species